rnacentral:tRNA from 1 species
GGGGGCGUAGUUCAGCUUUGGUUAGAACGCCUGCCUGUCACGCAGGAGGUCGCGAGUUCGAGUCUCGUCGUCCCCGCCA